AGCCCUUAUCUGUGCCUUACUUCUCAUUUGUGCAAGUCAGACUUCACUUGAUGAUGAUGGCUUUCUCAGGAGAGGGUGAAGGAGUUCACUGAGGAUGCCUUAGUGCAAAAUCUCAUGCAGAAACUUCUGCUAGUGGGAGCUGACACUCCAGUGCACACUGGGCACCUGUGGAGGACUUUCUCCUAGUGCCUUUAUGGACUCAACAACAUCUGGCAUGCAGGCCACAAAGCAGUUGCCUGAAACAUGCAACCAAAGAGGACACUGCAAGAAAGAACCACCAUGCCAGCUCCCAAACAUGGCAGAGGAUUGAAAACAGUGGAGUGCUUAAAAGACAUGGGUCUGGAACUACACCCCUAUUCUGCCACUUUCAAGAUCUCUGGCGUUCACAUGCAGGAAAGAGGGAUGAGGGUCAGAACUGAAACUCUGGAGAAAUGAUCCAGGAAAUGGAAGAAGGUAACAGACAAACCAUAAUGCUUGCUGAAUAACUCGCCAAGCACGAUGAAGGUACACAGAGCAUAAUAUCUCCUUUUAUCCUCUCUCAACAGCUCUGUAAGAUACAUACUGGUCUUAAUUAUCCCCUUCUUACAGAGGAGAAAAAUAAUGCACAGGAAACAUAAACACUUUCCCAAAAUAAAUGGCUAUGCUCAUAUUUGAACUGUGAUGUUUUGCCUUUUCUACCAUUCUGAUAAAUUGCCCUCCAUCCCAUAUGAAUGAGCAAAAUUACUCUAUAUGCAAUUAUGCAUAUGUUAUGUAUGUUUACAGUAAAAGGUCUGUCUUCACAUGUUUAGUGUAUUGCAUGUCCAUCAUUAAAUUAUUUUGCAAAUGUUCAUUAUGAGUAAUAUUUAUGCCCACAUCAGGUGAAUAAUGUUGACAUCUCUUUAAGUUAAAGGCAUCAAAGGGUUUUUUUUUUUAAUAGAAACUGUAAAACAUUUAUUUAAAAACAUUGUUUUAAGCUCCCACUUCCUGAGUCAGACUGACGGCUCUAGGAGAUGAUUGUCAUGUGCUCAUUUCCA